UACGUAGGGGGCUAGCGUUGUCCGGAAUCAUUGGGCGUAAAGGGCUCGUAGGCGGUUUGUCGCGUCGGGAGUGAAAUCCACUGGCUUAACUGGUGGCUUGCUUUCGAUACGGGCAGACUGGAGGUAUGCAGGGGAGAACGGAAUUCCUGGUGUAGCGGUGAAAUGCGCAGAUAUCAGGAGGAACACCGGUGGCGAAGGCGGCCCUCUGGACGGUGACUGACGCUGAGACGCGAAAGCGUGGGGAGCAAACAGG
rnacentral:rRNA from 1 species